rnacentral:rRNA from 1 species
GAGGAAUAUUGGUCAAUGGGCGCAAGCCUGAACCAGCCAUGCCGCGUGCAGGAUGACGCAUCUAUGGUGUGUAAACUGCUUUUGUACGGGAAGAAACCCUGCCACGUGUGGCAGAUUGACGGUACCGUAAGAAUAAGGAUCGGCUAACUCCGUGCCAGCAGCCGCGGUAAUACGGAGGAUCCAAGCGUUAUCCGGAAUCAUUGGGUUUAAAGGGUCCGUAGGCGGUUUUAUAAGUCAGUGGUGAAAUCCGGCAGCUCAACUGUCGAACUGCCAUUGAUACUGUAGGACUUGAAUUAUUGUGAAGUAACUAGAAUAUGUAGUGUAGCGGUGAAAUGCUUAGAUAUUACAUGGAAUACCCAUUGCGAAGGCAGGUUACUAACAAUACAUUGACGCUGAUGGACGAAAGCGUGGGGAGCGAAC